GCCCUAGUAGCUUAAACUCAAAGCAUUGUUCUUGUAAACCAAAAAUGGGUUCAACCCCUAGAGCA
rnacentral:tRNA from 1 species